UCCUGGGCUCAGAAGCUCAAAAGGGCAACCAAAGGGUUGAUGUGAGAAAAUGUCAGAGAGCCAGCAAGAUUGCAGAGUUAAAUCAGGCGAGAACCUGGAAGGACUAAGACCUGAGGAAGUGAGUUCCCUUUUUGGGACUGCUUUCCUUUGAAAGGGAAAGAUACCUUGAAAAUCAUUGCAGAUGCCUUAUGGGUGUGGUUUCUGCAAGAAAAUAAAUGUGAAACUCCGAUCCAUGGAUGAAUAUUCAAAAGAGGCUGAAUUCAGCUAGGGUCCUGGGACCCUGAGGUGCGGUGCAGACCUAAUGAAAAACAACAUGGAGCAAAACAAAGAGAGCUGCUAUCGAAG